AGCUGCCUGACUCUGGAACAGUCCUGUAGCAUAUACAUCAGGGUUCCUUUUCCUUGAUGACAGCUCAACAAAUGUGUAUAUGAGUCACUGAAUGCAGGAUACUCUCCUUUAUCUGAAGACCUAUUCAAAGAUCAAGAAUAAAAUUCCAGCUGAAAAGGCAGCCAGUGUUUAAUUUGUACACGAAUCCACUUGGGCAAUUGAUGUUUUGUUUCCAGCUGACAACACUGACAAGAAUAUAUAGUCUUUUGUCUUGUAAUUAUAUUAGCCUGGGAAGAUAGCCCAGUGGAGCAGGUCACACUAUUAUGAUUUCAAAAGAGGUCUUUUCAAAUGCUGAGCUGCUAGAAGUGAAGAAUGCAGUCUGCUAAGCCAGAUAGCUGUGUAACCAAUGGGUGUUGGUCAGCCAUGGAGUUGAAGCAGGAAGACGAUGG